UUAACAUCAGUUUAAUGAUCAUCUUGUUUAUUGUCGUGAGUGUCGACUUCAUUGUGUAAAGUUUUUCUAAUAGUGUCAAGAAGCUAAAUUUACAGGUUCUUAAAUUAUUAUUAAUUCAGUGUUUACUGAUUAUUGGAAACUUAAAAAAAGUUGUUUAAAUUGAUUGUUUGCCUCAAAACAGAUUUAAACUCAAUUAAGUAGAAAUGUUUUUCAACUGCAACAUUGUUUUAAUUUUACUUAUAACAAGUGCCAAACUACAAACUGAUUAGGAAGGAAGUUAGAAAUAAAGCAUAAUGCAAUAAUCCAAUAAAACUGUUCAGCGUGUCACUCAGCUCGACCAUCACAGGUGAGUAAAGAUCAUCUCGGUGGUACUUCCGCUCUGACUACCUGAACUGUGUGUCACACCUGAACUGGUUUCAUCACAUUAACACACGAACAUGAACACGAACCCUUGAGGCUGAAGUUAGUGGAGAACUGCGCUCACAACAGAAAGAGUAGACAUGAGCAGGGUGGAGAAUGGAUGUUAAAGACGCUGUGUGGACUCACUGUGAAGCCGUCCUGGUAAACGUUCUCGUACAGAUCCUCCUCCAUCCCUGCUGGCUGCUCAGCCUCAUACAGAUCCUCCUCAGCUGGAGGUUCUUCUGUCGAUCGGACACAUUUACAGAUAAAAACAUGACGAGGUGAAGGAGUUGCAAGUCUGUGGAUCAGUGACAGACAGACAUCAGACUGUGACGACCUGUGACGUGUUCAGCAUCAGUGUUAUUGUGUUCAUCAGCAGAGAGUGAGUCCUGACCUGCAGCUUGAACAGUUGAUGAGGACGUAUUUGGGCAGACCUGAGUUUGGGUCCUGGACGCGACAGAAGGCGUACAUCACCUUCCCACUGCUGAGCUCCUCCACCAUCUCCUCCAACCCGCCAUCUACACACACACACACACGCA